UCCGCCGCACUCUCCCUACUCGCUUGCUGGGCCCUGCGCGCACCGCUGCAACGCUCAACCGGACCACGGGGGGGCGCUGGCAAACCACCCUUAGCGACCUAGGAACGUGGCGGGCGGAGUGACGUCACGCGGCCUGUGAGCGGGAGGGAGAACGGCAGCGGGCUUCUGGGAAACGUCUUCCGCGGGCUGUCACCCUCCCACCCUGCGGACUGUGCGCAGGCGCCGUGCGUGAGGCGCUCGAGUUGGCGCUACGCUGGCCGAGGAGCCGCUUAGCUGCCGCGGACAAUGGAGGAGGCCUUUGGGGACCUGGACGUGAGGUGGUCUGCGUGGCCUUUGCUACACUAUCUUUAUGUGUGCUAGAACUUCUGUGCUAGAUUCCUGGGCUUUCAUAAAGGCUCUGCAGGUGAUUGUCUAAGACAGUGUUCUUGACGGGCUUCCAGACCACAGCCAAGAGGGACUGGAGCUGGUUUAUGGACCACCGGAGGGGCCAUAGCCAAGACUAAGGAGUUGUGACCCAUCUCUGAACCUCAAUUUCUUCAUCAAGAUGCUGAGGAUAGUACAUGUCUUCUGUGAUGAUGAAAUAUGGCAGAAAAGUGAACAUACUUGGAUUAUUAUUCCCAAACAAGAGACUCUGAUGCCAGUGAUUUUUGCUGCCAGCUGAAGGACAACAAUUUUCUCUUCAGAUCAUUUCUAAGGAACAGUGACUAUAACUCAAAGAAUUUUAAAAACAAGUAACUGAUUGACAAGAGGGAAGAUGAAUGUGACUACACUCAUGGACCUCCUCCUAGGAUCACCGGAAGAGUAGAGCUUCCCUCUUGACUUCCUCUUUAAUCACUCGGUUUUUAAGAUCACAAGAUCCAGUUUGGUCUUUCCUCAGGAGGCAAAGAACUGCCUGCUUAGGAGUGCACAGAGAAAGACAACUUAACAUUUAUGAGGAAUAACUUGAUAAAUAUCACACAGACCAUGUCUGUUACUGCUAAGAGCAAAAUUAUCAUCUUGGUGGGGGUGAUUCAAACUUUCUGGAAUAUGAAGUAAUGAAGUUCAGGAACAUGCAGAGUACAUAUUUGUGAAGGUACACUGCAAUCUCACUCCAAUUUAGUAGAAUUUGCUGAAAAAGAUGUCAGACUUCAGAGCUAUGCUAAGGCAGUUACUUAAGAAUACAAACCUCCUGAUAUCAUGAGAAGCCCAUUUUUUUGUGAUGGGCUAAUAAUGAUCAAAUACCUACAAGAUAAGAACAGGACUUAGGGCAAUGUGUUGAUGGACCUAUGGUUCUAAUUCCAUUUCUGUCUCCCCCUUAUGUAGGCUCAACUGUAAAACACUGAACUUAAAGAGAGAAGGCCCCUGCUAGUCUGAUCUUGGUUUACAGAAAUCUUUAUAUUAUAGAUUGACCCUUACUGGCAUGACUAUUUACUGGUUUGUUUGUAAACACUGUAAUUAUAGGCAAUACAAUGUUGCAUCUUUUUAGUGGUUCACAGAGUUACAUAAAUAUUCAGAAAAAGAGAGACAGAAUUCACCUACAAUUGAAGCAAACAAUUUACCACAAAGUGGAGGUAAUUGCUGUAAACUGAAAAUGACAAUUACAUUCCUUUUUGCA